UACAGAGGGUGCGAGCGUUAAUCGGAAUUACUGGGCGUAAAGCGCACGUAGUCGGCUUUGCAAGUCGGGUGUGAAAUCCCCUGGCUCAACCUGGGAACUGCAUCCGAGACUGCAUUGCUAGAGUAUGGGAGAGGGAAGCGGAAUUUCUGGUGUAGCAGUGAAAUGCGUAGAUAUCAUGAGGAAGACCAGUGGCGAAGGCGGGUCUCUGGACAGUUCCUGACACUGAGACACGAAGGCCAGGGGAGCAAACGGG
rnacentral:rRNA from 1 species